rnacentral:rRNA from 1 species
CUGAUCACUAGCUAGCCUAACUCCCUCUAGCCUCUCCUAGCUGCAGCCAUGGCUCAUGCAAGAAGCAUCCUCAUACCCACGUACUACCUGAUCAGCUGCUACAUCUUAUUUCUAGCCGCCUACGCGACUCCUCGCGCCGCCGCGCUGUCCUUCGACUACGACUUCACUGUCCCGAUCCCGAGGGACCGCAAGCAGCUCAAAUUCAUCAACGCCUCCUACGCCGGCCGCGACCGGAUCAUCCUCACCGACGACAGCUCCAACCUCACCGGCCGCGUCGUGCACCGAAAGCCGGUGCGCCUGUGGGACAGCCGCACAGGCAGGAGGGCCAGCUUCACCACCAGCUUCCGCUUCGCCAUCGUCCAAGACAGCAACAGGACGGAUAACCUUUCACGGGGCGACGGCAUGGCGUUCUUCCUCGGGCCCUUCCCGGCGACGACCCCUCCGCCUGGCUCCGACGGCGGCCUCCUCGGCCUCUUCAGCAACCCCAACAGCACGGGCGCCGCCGACUCCCGACGCCCGCCGCACACCCUCGCCGUCGAGUUCGACACCCGCUGGAACCACGGCUGGGACCCCUCCAACGGGGCUGGCGCCGACCACAUCGGCGUCGACGUCAACGGCAUCAGGUCCAACCGGACCAGAAGCCUGCCGCCGUUGAGCCUCCAUGGCAUCAUGUGGGCGAGCGUCACGUACGAUGCCGAGUCCAAGGUGAUGAAGGUGGCGCUUCGGAAAACCGAGCUGGCGUCCGAGUCGAGCACUACGUACGAGUUCAACGCCACCAUGGAUCUCAGGGACGACGCUGGCCUUGUACAGGACGCCGCCGUCGGUUUCUCCGCGGCCACCGGUGUCCUCUGCGAGUCGCACCAGCUGCUCGCUUGGUCCUUCCACUCAACAGAUCCAUCUCACAUGGAGACAAAAAUGUGGGUGAUAUUCCUAUCUGUCACAGCAGUUUUGUUAGCCGGUUUACUAGUGGCUCUUUUCCCUCUUCUCUAUACUACAUUUAUGAAAAAGCCAAGACGGUGCCUCGACGGAAAUUGUUUGCAAGGUAAAUAUAUCAUGGAUUUUAUUUAAUUAUUUAAUUAGAAAAGUCACUUCAUCAAUUCCCUUCUCUUAACUAACCAUGUUAUUCGAUCACGGAAAAAUCAAAGUUGCAAGAAAAUUCUCCUACUCUGAGCUAGUAGCGGCAACGGCCAACUUCUCGCAAGAUAGGAAGAUCGGCAAAGGUUCCUUCGGUGACGUGUACAGAGGGUUGCUACCUGUGCCGGACCUGCGGGAGGUGGCGGUGAAGGAAAUGCGGCAGCCAACAUUGAAGCGGAACCGGAAGAACUACGUGCAUGAGAUCGAGACCCUGUGUCAGCUGCGCCAUAAGAACCUCCUACGGCUCAUCGGCUGGUGCGACGAUGGUGGCCGGUUGGUGCUUGUCUACGAGCUCGAACCCAACGGUAGCGUCAGCGACCAUCUCCACGACGGCGGCACUAGCGGGAGAAUAUUGACAUGGCCGCAGAGGUACAAUAUCCUUCUUGGUAUUGCAGCCGCCAUUGACUACCUCCACAACGGUGCAUAUGACUCAACAAAGAGGUACGUGUUGCACCGGGACAUAAAGCCCAGUAACGUGAUGCUGGGAGAGGGCUUCGAGGCCAAGCUCGGCGACUUUGGACUGGUACGACAGGUCAUCCGCCAUGGCGGUGGGGGUACUCCUCGGACAACUGUUAUCGGGAGCAUGGACUACAUGGACCCCAAGUACAUCGAGCUCGGCACGCUGAGCUCCGCCUCUGAUAUAUACAGCUUUGGGUUGGUGCUGCUGGAGGUGGCCACUGGCGUGAGACCAUCCGUCCCGGGAACAGCAGCACACCGGAACACCCUCAUCGCGGCCGUCACGGAGUCUCACAGCAGAAAAACCAUCCUCGAGAUGGUAGAUGAGCGGCUGAGAGGGGAGUUGAAUCAGUGGUGGUGGCAGAUGGAGCGUGUCAUGGUCACCGGGCUGGCAUGUGUCGAGCCGGCGCGUGACGAGCGACCAUCUAUCAAAGAUGUCAUCGACCUGCUCUCCAAGCACGAGCAAUCUCCGGCAACUAGCCGUUACCUGAAAGAUACUUCAAUGAGGCCCAAGGAUCGAUUUCCUUUCAUACUAACUAGGAAUGUGGCUCUCGCAAAUGCAAGGGCAACAUCUUUACCAUAGUGAACAUGUCUGUGAAAUAAUAUGACUUCAUAGAUAUUAAAUAUGUGGAAUUUUAAAUCCUAUAGCUCUAUAGGCGUGUACAAGGUUAUGUUAAGUACAAUAUCUCUAGUGUGGUAAAUAUUUUCGAAUCACGUUAAUUUGUGGGCACAAUAGUGUUGUAACAUUCCCAAAAACACCAUGUCACUGUACUUUGAAACUUCGUCUAUUCUUAAAG